GAGCAGAAGAGCUUGCAGUUUGCUCAAGUAGAUGACAGCAAAGAGGAAGAAGGAGAGAAUCCAUUGCUUGUACCACUAGAAGAAAAGGCAGUGCUGCAGGAAGAGCAAGCUAGCCUGUGGUUCUCCAAGGACGGCUUCAGUGGGAUAGACGAUGAUGCUGACGAAGCCCUGGAGAUCAGUCAGGCACAGCUGCUGUACAAGAGCCGUCAGAAGGAGCAGCAGCCAACAGAUCCACCUCCACCACCUACUAACUUGAAGACUGAGAAGAAAUCUUCCCAGUGCCAGAAUGAGGUCCCUAAGGAGACAGAGGCUAUCACUGACACUGGAGGGGAGGACAGAGACAGCUCGGACAGUGACAGCAGCAGUAGUGAGGAUGAAGACGAUUGGAAAGUAUCCCGUGGUAAGAAACGAAGCCGUGGUUCUAAAGCAGACGAGGAUGGGUUUGAGGUAGUGCCUAUUGAGGACCCAGGUAAGAAGUAUGGAGAGAGGAACCCGUGUAAGUUGCAGUAGUGAAAAUUGGGCGCUUUGACUUUUGUCUUUCCUCUCUAGUGAAAUAUCGAAUUCUGGACCCUGAAGGCCUUGCUCUAGGUGCUGUUAUUGCCUCUUCCAAAAAGGCAAAGAGAGACCUUAUAGAUAACUCAUUCAACCGGUAAGGGGCCAGAACACUCAGGUGCAGUGGACUCAGGCCAGGUAACAACAGGUGAUCACUGGCCUGGUAUCCUCUCUACUCAGGUAUGCUUUUAAUGAAGAGGAGGAAGAACUUCCAGAGUGG
rnacentral:lncRNA from 1 species